CGAGCGCACCCCUAUCCUUAUUUGCCAGCGCAUAAUGGCGGGAACUAUAAGUGAGACUGCCGGUCAUAAACCGGAGGAAGGCGGGGACGACGCUCAAGUCAUCAUGGCCCUUAUGGGUAGGGCUACACACGUGAUACAAUGGGUGGUACAGAGGGUCGCCAAAGCGCGAGCUGGAGCCAAACCCUUAAAACCAUUCUUAGUCCGGAUUGGAGUCUGCAACUCGACUCCAUGAAGUCGGAAUCGCUAGUAAUCGCGAAUCAGAAUGUCGCGGUGAAUACGUUCUCGGGCCUUGUACACACCGCCCGUCACGUCAUGGAAGUGGGUUGCACCAGAAGUGGCUUGUUUAACCUUCGGGAAAACGGUCACCACGGUGUGAUUCACAACUGGGACGAAGUCGUAACAAGGUAGCCCUAGGGGAACCUGGGGCUGGAUCA
rnacentral:rRNA from 1 species